AAAGUGGGCAGAACUUGCCUCUCCUGCUCCAGCACUUUUUAAACUUUUUUUUUUCCCCCUCCCCUUGUUUUUUUUUUUUUUUCCUUUUUGUGCACGAAGCGCACCUCCGCGGACGGCUCAGCUCCUCUCCCCGCUCUCCUCCUCCCUUAUAACACCCCUUAUAACACCCCUUCCCUUUGCCCUCGCUGGUGGGGCACGACAACCAAGCGUGCUGUGCAACCCCACUGCAGGAACGCUGGCGUUCAGCUGCUGUUCCGCUUGCUCUGGAAUUCUGGUCAACGGAAGGAAGAACAAGAAGAGAACACACAGGCCCUGAAAGUCUUUACUUACCAGCUGGGUUCAGUUCCCAUCUCCAUACCUUUUUUUUUUUUUUGGCUUAAAGUUAAGUAAAACAGUUGCAAGAUGGGAAUUGUACCUAAUUAACAGAGAUGAGAAGCUCCUGGGAAGAGGACAGAUACCUCCUAGAGGGUUUGCACAGUGCUUCGCUCAGGGUCUCAGAUCUCCCCCAUGAUGUAAUUAGCUCAGUUUGGCUGCACUGAGCAGCACGAAGUGCCAUGCUGGGCCACACCGUGUUUUCCUGCUGUCUGCCCUGUGCUAUGGGAAGCCUUUGGCAUCAGACUUCAGUUAUGCACCAUGUUGGGCUGCACACAGUAUUCCUUCUGCCCUAUCUAGGCUGAAAGAAAGCAGUAGCUUCAUGUAUUCUCAUUAUUGCAAGUAAGACCAGACAGUUCUUCACUGUGCCCAUCUGCAUUCUUUUGGUUUUGUAGAUUCAAAUCCCCUGCUUAUUAUGGUAUAGGCUAAAAUAAAAAUGAAUGAAAACAGAGUUGGGGGGGGAACGUAUUGGUGAACAGAAGUUUCAGCAUAGAGGAUUCCCAUCAGCACUGACUGUAGAGUUUCACACCUCCUAUAUUUGACUUGAGCAUCACUGAAGUACCAGCUGCACACCCCUAAAACAUGCUGUGGGACACACUGAGCACGCCUGCGUUUCCCAGGAGAAAUAAGGACAAUCCAUGGGUUCUGUUGUCCUUCAUUCCACCGGAGUCUGUCUCGUACCUAACCAGAUUUCAGUGGAGUGAAGCACAAGAGACAUGGAGAUGAAUCAGCAAUGAGAGGAACUGCUCCCCAGUGGCAGAGCAAGGAAACGGCACGGACAUGGGUGCACCACGCAUCCCAACAGAGGCCAGGCAUGCUGGCAAACAGAGGAAUGGCACACUGAGCACUUCAAUAAGGUCAAUAUUUCUUCACCACCUCCAGUGAGAGCCCAUUCUGAAAACAUCCGUGCUUUCUGCAUUGUAUAUAUAGAGGGGAAAAAAAAAAAGUCUACAAAGACCACAAGCUGGUUUCCUGGAGGCUUAAAUACCUUCUUAGCAGGAUAUUAAACGCUCAUGUGGAU
ensembl:lncRNA